AAUGUUAAUUCCCAUUUUAGUUCGCUUGAGUUCAGUUCAGUUCGACUUUAAACGUUGCCGUAACUUCGCGUCGUUCUCGUGGCUCCAACGCAAAAACGCGACCAAAAAACUUAUUAAUUCUUAGAAAAGUAAAAAGUAAAAACCUGGGGAGAAUAAUCACUAUAAAAUAGUUAAUUAAUGAGAUAAGCGCCUAUACCAAGCACUUAGUAUAAAUACAAAACAUACAAACAAAGUUAUACGAACACCAUAUUUGCGCGAAGUCCAAAGAGAAAAUGUCAACAAUAAGGAAAAUACAGCGAGAAUAUCCACUCUGACGCAUAUAGACGCGUAUGUAGGCAGUUACAUACAACAACAAAUAUGUUAAUCAUAAGACUAUGCCACCUAGUGCCGCCAACAACAACAACCUAACCUAACCUAAGUAAGCCCACCAGAAACAAAAGUGCCCAAAACAAAAAUCCCGACAACGGAAAAAAAUUCCAAUCGCCAAACGAUUUGCUGCGUCAAUAAGAAAUGUCAGCAGAAUAUUGAGUUUCAAAAGAACAGCGCGCUGAACAAAAGUCACAACGACACGAAAAUAAUAGUAUGCGCGGAUAAAA